rnacentral:rRNA from 1 species
CUUACGGGUUGGGCUACACACGUGCUACAAUGGUGGUGACAGUGGGUUAAUCCCCAAAAGCCAUCUCAGUUCGGAUUGGGGUCUGCAACUCGACCCCAUGAAGUUGGAAUCGCUAGUAAUCGCGUAACAGCACGACGCGGUGAAUACGUUCCCGGGCCUUGUACACACCGCCCGUCACACCAUGGGAGUCUAUUGCACCAGAAGUAGGUAGCCUAACGAAAGAGGGCGCUUACCACGGUGUGGUCGAUGACUGGGGUGAAGUCGUAACAAGGUAGCCGUAGGGGAACCUGCGGCUGGAUCACCUCCUU